GGUAUAGCCAAGCGGUAAGGCACCGGACUUUGACUCCGUCAUUCGCAGGUUCGAGUCCUGCUACC
rnacentral:tRNA from 1 species